AUGUCUGGCAGGAGGUCGCGCGGCUCCGUGUCGGAGGAGGAGAUCAACGAGCUCAUCUCCAGGCUCCAGACCCUGCUCCCCACCGCGCGCCGCCGCGGCAGCAGCAGCAGCCAGGCGUCGACGACGAAAAUGCUCAAGGAGACGUGCAGCUACAUCAAGAGCCUGCACAGGGAAGUGGACGACCUCAGCGACCGCCUCUCCGACCUCAUGUCCACCAUGGACAACAACAGCCCCGCCGCCGAGAUCAUCCGCAGCCUCCUCCGCUAG
rnacentral:rRNA from 1 species